rnacentral:rRNA from 1 species
GUCUCUGCGCGGAAAAUUUAACGGGGCUAAGAUACAAACCGAAGCUUAGGCUGCACUUUUAGUGCGGGGUAGGGGAGCGUUGUGUAAGCGGAGAAACGAUAGCGUAAGCGGUCGUGGAGUUUACAGAAGUGAGAAUGCCGGAAUGAGUAGCGCGAAUGAUGUGAGAAUCAUCAUGGCCGGAAACCUCAGGUUUUUGGAGGAAGGUUCGUCCGCUCCAAGUUAGGCGGGAGCUAAGGUGAGGCCGAAAGGCGUAGCCGAUGCACAGACGGUAGAGAUUCCGUCCCCACCGAAAGAUUUAAGCACAGGGACACUUUUUGAAGGUCGGAGCCAGGUGUUGGUUCUGGUAGUGAUCGAGGGAAAUAUAGUACCGAAGUCCGGCUGGAAGAGAGGCGAGAAAAGCUGUGUGUAUAUCUAAGGUGCCCGUACCGCAAACCGACACAGGUAGGUAGGAAGAAGAUUCUAAGGCCAACGGGAGAAGGGUUGUUAAGGAACUCGGCAAGUUGACCCCGUAACUUCGGAAUAAGGGGUGCUCAUGAAAGUGAGCCGCAGAGAAUAGGCCCAGGCAACUGUUUACCAAAAACACAGGUUUGUGCUAAAUCGAAAGAUGACGUAUACGAGCUGACGCCUGCCCGGUGCUGGAAGGUUAAGAGGAGAUGUGCAAGCAUUGAAUUGAAGCCCCAGUGAACGGCGGCCGUAACUAUAACGGUCCUAAGGUAGCGAAAUUCCUUGUCAGGUAAGUUCUGACCCGCAUGAAAGGCGUAAUGAUUUGGGCACUGUCUCAACAGCCCGCCCGGCGAAAUUGUAGUACCGGUGAAGAUGCCGGUUACCCGCGACAAGACGGAAAGACCCCAUGGAGCUUUACUGUAGCCUGAUAUUGGGUUUCGGUGUUGCAUGCACAGGAUAGAUGGGACACUGGGAAGGCAGUGCUUUGGCAUUGCUGGAGUGGACGUUGGGAUACCAUCCUUGCGACAUUGGAAUUCUAACCUGCGCCUCUGAAUCGAGGCGGGGGACAUUGUCAGGUGGGCAGUUUGACUGGGGCGGUCGCCUCCUAAAAAGUAGCGGAGGCGUUCAAAGGUUCGUUCGAUCUGGACGGAAACCAGAUGAUUGAGUGCAAACGCAUAAACGAGCCUGACUGCGAGACUGACGGGUCGAGCAGAGACGAAAGUCGGAGUUAGUGAUCCGGUGGUAUGUGAGUGG